AUUGAACGCUGGCGGCAUGCCUUACACAUGCAAGUCGAACGGUAACAGGUUAAGCUGACGAGUGGCGAACGGGUGAGUAACGUAUCGGAACGUGCCCAGUUGUGGGGGAUAACUGCUCGAAAGAGCAGCUAAUACCGCAUGCGACCUGAGGGUGAAAGCGGGGGAUCGCAAGACCUCGCGCAAUUGGAGCGGCCGAUAUCAGAUUAGGUAGUUGGUGGGGUAAAGGCUCACCAAGCCGACGAUCUGUAGCUGGUCUGAGAGGACGACCAGCCACACGGGGACUGAGCCACGGCCCAGACUCCUACGGGAGGCAGCAGUGGGGAAUUGUGGACAAUGGACGCAAGUCUGGUCCAGCCAUGCCGCGUGCGGGAAGAAGGCCUUCGGGUUGUAAACCGCUUUUGUCAGGGAAGAAACGCUCUGGGUUAAUACCCUGGGGUAAUGACGGUACCUGAAGAAUAAGCACCGGCUAACUACGUGCCAGCAGCCGCCGUAAAAC
rnacentral:rRNA from 1 species